AGCGAACGUUAGCGGCAGGCCUAACACAUGCAAGUCGAGCGAGAAAGGGGCUUCGGCUCCGAGUAAAGCGGCGGACGGGUGCGUAACACGUGGAUAAUCUGCCCUUCAGUGGGGAAUAACACUCCGAAAGGAGUGCUAAUGCCGCAUGUCACAGCGAGGCCUCCGGGUCACGUUGGAAAAGGGGACGCCCGCAAGGGGUUCUCGCUGGAGGAUGAGUCCGCGGCCCAUCAGCUAGUUGGCGGGGUAAUGGCCCACCAAGGCUUAGACGGGUAGCUGGUCUGAGAGGAUGACCAGCCACACUGGGACUGAGACACGGCCCAGACUCCUACGGGAGGCAGCAGUGGGGAAUAUUGGACAAUGGGCGAAAGCCUGAUCCAGCCAUGCCGCGUGAGUGAUGAAGGUCUUCGGAUCGUAAAGCUCUGUGGGAAGGGACGAAAAAAGCCGACCUAAUACGUCGGAGCUUGACGGUACCUUCUUAGCAAGCACCGGCUAACUCCGUGCCAGCCGCCGCCGUAACAC
rnacentral:rRNA from 1 species